rnacentral:rRNA from 1 species
UGGGGAAUAUUGGACAAUGGGGGCAACCCUGAUCCAGCAAUGCCGCGUGUGUGAAGAAGGUCUUCGGAUUGUAAAGCACUUUCGACGGGGACGAUGAUGACGGUACCCGUAGAAGAAGCCCCGGCUAACUUCGUGCCAGCAGCCGCGGUAAUACGAAGGGGGCUAGCGUUGCUCGGAAUGACUGGGCGUAAAGGGCGUGUAGGCGGUUUACACAGUCAGAUGUGAAAUCCCCGGGCUUAACCUGGGAGCUGCAUUUGAUACGUGUAGACUAGAGUGUGAGAGAGGGUUGUGGAAUUCCCAGUGUAGAGGUGAAAUUCGUAGAUAUUGGGAAGAACACCGGUGGCGAAGGCGGCAACCUGGCUCAUUACUGACGCUGAGGCGCGAAAGCGUGGGGAGCAAACAGGAUUAGAUACCCUGGUAGUCCACGCUGUAAACGAUGUGUGCUAGAUGUUGGGUAACUUUGU